rnacentral:tRNA from 6 species
GCGGGAAUAGCUCAGUUGGUAGAGCGCAACCUUGCCAAGGUUGAGGUCGCGGGUUCGAGACCCGUUUCCCGCUCCA